AGUGUCAAUGGUUCUUGAAACCUGAGAAAGAGAAAUGAAAAACUGAGACCUGGGAAAGACCUCUCUCCCACUACAUCUGGGGCCAUCUUGCCUAUCAUUUUGACCUAUGUCUUACCACAGGCCUCUGAUGGGUCAGAGGGAGAGAGUGAGGCUGAUGUCUUUGCACAGCCCCUGCCUCACUUAAAUCCAAUUCACUGGCAAGUCAAGACAUCCCCUGCCUGAUAUCACUGGGCCUCUUCCAAAAAAGAAGGAUAAACAAGAAACAACAACAAGCAGCGCUCACCUUGGAAUCUUUCCCUGUAAACAAAACCAGCUGGAACCAGACUGGCCCAUAAUGUUCUUACCCCAUCUGUCAGGAUUUGUGUCAUGAAGGAGAAAACAGCCAGAAUGAAGUGGUUUUCCUUGCUCAGAUUGCCCAAAGUAGCUGGAAUCUCAUGACUAGGGCUUGCUAGCUUCUCCUCGUCCUUCCUAAAGGCAAAAGAAGUUUUCAUGGAUCUCAAGAUUGGGAAAUCCAUUUUGCUGUGCACUCAUGGCACAUCCCCCAGGGUGGCAGGCUGGGUACCCUAGGAUCUCCAUUAAAGAAGCUUUAUUUCUCUACUUGUGGCUCUGGGUGAUUUCAGGACUUGAUACUCCCUUCUUAAGUAGGACUUGUUAAUCAAUCAAUCAAUCAAUUAAUCAAUCAAUCACUCAUUCCACAAGCAAUUGAUUACAUGAUUCCUCUGUGGUAGACUUUAUGGAUACAUUUGCAGCUGGAUAUUCAACAUAUUCUUACCUAAGCAUCUGCAAAAUAAAGAUGAGGGAAUUUUCAGGGGGAAAGUGAAGCCACCUUCUCAGGUACAAGCCUAGUGUUGAAAGACUGUGAGGAUUCUAAAAGGUAGAGGGGAGGGCCUGCCUGUCAUCUAUCCAGUACAAAGUCAUGGAGAUGGGAAUGUUGGGUGUGUAGAAGAACAAGAUCAGGAAUUGUCACCUGUGCCUUGGGGUGUUGUUGCCUUCUGACUCUUUGAAGGCUCUGGGAUGCCUUAGAGUUUGCUGAGCUUAGAUGUGGUGUAUAGGAUGUGAGACCUGCUUGAGCCCUUCAUUACCCAAUGAAGGCCAAAAACAUGGACUGGCCAAUCAGAGAAGAUGAUUUAAGUCCUUCUGGACUGAGACGCCAUCAAUCCUUUGGGAUGGUCUCUGAGCAAACCUGACAUUUUCCUGCUGUGUCAGCAACCAGAAGAUCAGAAUAAGCUUGCACACAUAUCCUGAGUCUGGGGCACUUCCUUGCUUUAUGGCUGCAUAAUCCCCCAUCCACAUAAAGGAUAAAUGAAAUACUAACUGUUAGGGAAACAUCAGGAAGGAUAUUCAGCCCUAAGCUAAGUGAAAUGUUGCUAUUUAAGGUAAAAAUUCUUAGGAGUGUAAUUUACUAUUGUUUUAAGCUUUGAUUACAGAUGUAGUUGUCUGAACUGUCCUGAAGGUAAUGGUAGAAAAAGGCAUCUACUGCAGUCUGGGCACUGCUAAAGGUGAAUGUGUGUACAGGGAAAAGUUUUUGGGAUGAUGGUGGCAGGGCCUUGGUAGGAUUCUCCUGACUCUGUUUCCUCAUUGUUUUCUUUCUGAAAAGGAAAAUUCUCAACUGGUUAAUCCUGAGCCUUGCUUUUGACACCUUGUGGCUACAUGAUUAACUUUGAGAUAUGACUCAUGCCUGGAAUCAAACAUAGCUGAGGGAGUUUUCCCCUUCUGUUAUGAUAUAGGACAUUUUUCCAACUAUGUCCCUCUUUUGCCUUUCAUAGCAAAUUUCUAUACUCAAGAAGUUUUGUAAAUACAAUACUAAAUCUAUUAAAUAGUAGAUUGAUACUGGAGUAUCUCUGAGUUACUAUAAUAGGUAGCAACUAUGAAUGUCUUAUAUUUUUAACCUAUAUUUCUAGUAAAAUAAUAAUAUAGGGAUGAUAUUCUACUAAGGGGGAAAUCUUUAGACAAAGUAAUGAAACAAAGAUGUAAUGUGAUCAUUUUCUAAUUAAACCCAAUAUUAAAUUUUGAGAAAAGCAACAGGAUUAGACAGUUUUCUCUAAGAACUCUAUGUAGACCUCUAUUUCUGUUACUAUGAUUACUAUUGCUAUGAUUAACUUCUAUAUAGAUGCACACAACUUAUCUCUCAUGGAAAUUCAAGCUUUCAGCAUGUUUUGGUGAAAAGUUCUCAAUGGAUUUUACACAUUAAUUGUAUGGAUAAUGGCAAAGAAAAUGAAGAAAUUUUCCCAUUAUUAAAGUAUCUGUUUGAUAAAUAUAAAGGGUAGAAGAGCUCAUUUUAUUGUUGGACCCUCCAAUUUUUACAAGAUUCUUCUCUCAGGUACAGGAAUUAGUUUCAUUGAGGGCUGCUAUUUGAAUGGUUUACCUGCUGAGUUCCCUUGCAACAAGAGCUGUUCUUCUUUCAGGUCUAUUGGAUUUGGUGUUGUCUCUAAGUGUGUGCACAUUCCUUUUACUGAUGGUGAGUGGAAUCGUCUUUGCAGCCAUUUUUGUACAUUUUUUUAUCUUUCAACCACAGGGUAGGAUCCCUUCCUGUAACGGUAACAGGCCAGGGUUGGGUAAGUCGAGAAUUUUUAGGGCACCUUUACUAGCCCCUUCCUCCCACCAGGAGGUAAACAGUGUGGUCCUUCAAAAAGGCUGCUCAGACACCCAGGAGGCUGCUGAAUGCCACUGCUGCUUCCGGUGAGAAAUGACCCUGUGGUCUGGGUUGCCUGGUGCAGGGUUGUGACUACAGCUCCCAAUAUAUCUGCACUUGCUGCUUCAUCAUUCUCCUGUCACCACGGCUCUCUGAGACAGGUAGAAAUGGCAAAAUGAUAUGGGUGAUGUCAUUUGAUUCCUGUGUGAUUUGCGUUUAAAUGCAGCACAGUUGAAUGAAGUUGUCAGCCUCUGUCUCCCUCCACAGUGAUCACAGUCCAUUGGUGAUGGCUGGACAUGCAGUGGGUAACCUUGGCUUGUUUGAUGUUAACCAAGCUCCAAGCGCUCCACGGCUCCUGCUUCACCUGCCUUCAUGGCCAUUGAAAUGGAUUGUUCUCAUCUGCCUAUUCCACCAGGGGAAGCCUUCACAGCCUUGGGAUCACAGACAACAAUGACUGCACAGUGCCAGUGAGUUCCCAGGGUGAGGAGAAAGACUGGAUCCAUCCUAUAGAUGAGGUUGCUUCAAGAACUUUAGGGACUGUUCCACACACCUUGUCUGUCCUGGCUGGGGAAAACCAGUCAGAGCUGAGAGUCCAGGCCCAUUACCCUGCAUUGUCUACAGUUACUCCUGAGGGCCAGCUCAUGUCUCGGGGUCUCAGUUUGGGAGCAUAUCACAGAGGAAGAAUGAGCAGCAGACCCAUGGAAAGAAAGCUGUCACCAUGUAUCAGGCACUCAUCAUCUCAAGGGUGGACUCUUGCCAUGGCCAUCUUGUUAGUUUCAAUGCCUCCACUCUCUCCCUGCUCCAGCCAGUGCUGCACUCAGUUGUUAAAUUGAUCAUCUGAGAGAGCAGGUCUCACCGCAUCACCUCCCUACUCCAGAAACUACAGUCCCUCUGUAUUACCUCCACGACUGAAUAAAAAAUCCUUUAAAUCCAUUCAGACCCUUGGUCAAUUCCUCCCUUUCCUAUUUCCUCACACUCUACCCACUUCCAAGCACCCCAUGAUCUUGUGACACAGGCCUUCUCUCUUUUUCUCAUAAAGGACCCUCCUCUGUCUCUGUGCCCCUUCAGUGCUGUCCCAUGUGCCUGGAAUGCUCUUCUUCCUCACUGCCACUUCCUGGCUUCACGUCCUUCAUGUUUGCUCUGAAACACACAUGUGGGGAAACUUCCAGUGAUAUUUUCUUGCUACUAUGAUCUCCCCAAGAAGUCUUUUCUCUAAUGCCCAUACCUCAUGCUGGACAGAGGAGUGUCUGUGGCAGGUUUCUGACUGAGUGUGCUUUUUCAGUUUAAAGUUUUUAAUAUUAAACUUACACACUAAGAGAAGAACAUUUCCAUACCUACAGCAGAACCCAGAAAGAGGAUUCUGUGUGAAGCUAUGAACCUCUCUUUCACACAAUUGCAAAAGAAUAAAGUCCAUCCCUGUCACUGUAAACCGUCCUGCUUAUCUAUACAUCCUUUUGUUCUUUUUCGUGCAUUUAAGCAGAUGAUUCAAUGCUCUACUAUUUUCCUCCUCUCAUGAUUGCUCUUACCUCGUUCCGGAAUUAAAAACUGAGAAGAAAUAAAGAAAACACAUCCCCUGUAACAUACAAGCACAGUCCAGCAGAAUGACUCUAGACAGUAUCAGAGUCCACUUUCUGCAUCUGUUGUCCCUCCUACCUUUGUCAGGUGGUUAACACUUCUUCUCUGACUUCUUCUAAAGACAUGGUU